CCUACGGUAGGCAGCAGUGAGGAAUAUUGGUCAAUGGACGAGAGUCUGAACCAGCCAAGUCGCGUGAAGGAUGACUGCCCUAUGGAUUGUAAACUUCUUUUAUAAAGGAAUAAAACGAGGCACGUGUGCCUUUUUGCAUGUACUUUAUGAAUAAUGAUCGGCUAACUCCGUGCCAGCAGCCGCGGUAAUACGGAGGAUCCGAGCGUUAUCCGGAUUUAUUGGGUUUAAAGGGAGCGUAGAUGGGUUGUUAAGUCAGUUGUGAAAGUUUGCGGCUCAACCGUAAAAUUGCAAUUGAUACUGGCAGUCUUGAGUACAGUUGAGGUAGGCGGAAUUCGUGGUGUAGCGGUGAAAUGCUUAGAUAUCACGAAGAACCCCGAUUGCGAAGGCAGCUUACUAAACUGUGACUGACAUUGAUGCUCGAAAGUGUGGGUAUCAAACAGGAUUAGAUACCCUUGUAGUC
rnacentral:rRNA from 1 species